rnacentral:lncRNA from 1 species
UUUUCGUGAAUAUUUCUCUGUGAGAGGGCAGCGAAGCGCCUUUCUUCUCGAUCCUCAUCGCGAUGGCCGUCAAGUUGACCUCCCUGGGAGCCUAGCCUUUUAUGAAUGUUUCCCUAUGGGCCCAGGUGAGCGUGGAUGUCAAGUCUUGGGCCCAGCCUAUGGCGUACGUUGGUCCUUAAAUGCAAUCUAGAUGGGAGACUUCGUCUGCUCUAAGUGUGGCUUGCAGAUGCUUGCGACAUGCGACAAGCUGAUCACUUGUUGUGCAUCUCCUUGUCUGCUUACUCUUGCUCGACCUGCUCAGUUCCCACAGAACUACCUAUCAGCGCAUUCGUUCAUCCUUCUCUCUUCG